AGUAGUGCUCUGCAGUGUUUAUUUCAUCCUGAAGAUCACUUAUUUGAGACAUAGUCCUCAAGUGGAAUUAUGAAAUCAAAGAGUGACUCCAUAAAGUGCCUCACAACACAAGAGCUGAGCAGAUAUAAUUUCUACAGUAGAAUUUAAUCAUUCUGGAGAAUUACUAGCAACAGGAGAUAAAGGUGGUAGAGUCGUCAUCUUUCAACAAGAGCAGGAGAACAAAAUCCAGUCUCAUAGCAGAGGAGAAUAUAAUGUUUACAGCACCUUCCAGAGCCAUGAACCAGAGUUUGACUACUUGAAAAGUUUAGAAAUAGAAGAAAAGAUCAACAAAAUUAGGUGGUUACCCCAGAAAAAUGCUGCUCAGUUUUUAUUGUCUACCAAUGAUAAAACAAUAAAAUUAUGGAAAAUCAGUGAAAGGGACAAAAGACCAGAAGGGUAUAACUUGAAAGAGGAAGAUGGAAGGUAUAGAGAUCCUACUACAGUUACUACACUACGAGUGCCAGUCUUUAGGCCUAUGGAUCUAAUGGUUGAGGCCAGUCCACGAAGAAUAUUUGCCAAUGCUCAUAC
rnacentral:sRNA from 1 species